GGCUAAUUAGAAUUUUAGUGUCGUCUGCUGCUUUAGUGUUUGAAACUCGAAAGUUUCGAAGAAGAGACAAAACUAUAAUUCUUCUGAAGAAAACUGAGUGAUCACUUUUUUGGAAACGUACCGUGUCUGCACGGAAAACAGCACAACAAAUUAUUAUUACUUAAAUGUGGUCGUCCUUCAACUCUGAUGUUAUGUCACGUCUCUAUAGUUCCGCUUGAUUACUCACUCCUUGCUGUUUAACAGAUUUGAGGCCUGAGCCAAACUUUGUAACAACAAGACUUGCAAGUUUUGCUUCUGCUAGCAUUGAUCUGACAUCACAACAAUUUUAGUGUCAUCAUAAACCGAGACAAACAGCAUCCUGAUUGGAGAAUCCAAUGUCGAUCGAGUUACGUGUCUUCUCUUCCCCUAUCUUUAAAUAUCCUCGUGUACAUCCAUGUGAAUGUGGGUGUAUUCACGAGGACUCCCUUUUUCCUAGCCUGCCUGGUGGAUUCUACUUUUCCAGGAAUGGGGCAGUUGGGGCACUUGUGGAUGCCUGGCUGUAUUUCCCAGGCUUAAAGGUAGGACAAAUUAAUCUCUAUUCUUUGUCUUUGACUGUUUGGUGGCGUUGAUUGUAAAUCGUAAAGUACGGAGUACGAUUACUCCAGAGCUAGGCUGUUGACUGGAACUGUUUUCUCUUGCCGUUUUCAUUUACUCAGUCUGAAAUCAUUAAAUUAGUCAUUUGUAGAACAGCUGCA